GUGAGUUAGUGUGUUCACUGGCUUCGAGUAUCUCUUAGUUGGUCAUUCCAUUCACUUACCCAGGUCUCGACAGCACUAAUGUGGUAAUGUAGAAAUCCCAUCUCUUUCUAUACUGUAGAGAGAUUAGCCUUCCAUAUCUCCCUCAUGUAAUAGCUUUUUGAUAUCCCCUUUAGUGAAGGGCAAGGUGUCUUCAUCAGAAUCCAUCCUCUGGAAUAUACCACUAGGAAUAUG